GCCUGGGUGGCUCAGUCGGUUAAGCGUCCGACUUCAGCUCAGGUCACGAUCUCACAGUUUGUGGGUUCGAGCCCCGCGUCGGGCU
rnacentral:tRNA from 1 species